AGUUCAGCACCUGUGAAGCAAAGCCAAGAAGUGGCACCUGCAGGCUGGCAGAGCUAUCGCUGGUCCUGAAGCUGAGAGACAGUUUCUUAGAGGGAAGUCAGAAGUCGCCCACACAAUCUUCACAGACACCAGCUUUACCAUAACAUUUGAAUACAGUGGCAACUUCCUGUCCCGAAGCCUCGCCUUUUCUGGUACUUCUGCCCGAGCAACUGUAGGGUUCCCAGGAACAUCUUGACCGAGUUCCCCGCUUCCACGACACCACGGUGGCAGGUGCCGAACAUCUCCUGGUCACCUGUGAUGUAUCAAAUCCACAAAUAUCUCUGGAGAAACACCUCUGAAGGGCCAACAGGGAUAGUAGCAAGCAGCGGAAACUGUCCCUGAAGCCAAAUGGAGCCUUCCCUUGGUCACCGUGGCUUUUUGGAUCACCACAUUUUCCUAGUUUUUCUACAAAUCAAUUUUCU
ensembl:lincRNA Gm45055 predicted gene 45055